GACGAACGCUGGCGGCGUGCUUAACACAUGCAAGUCGAGCGGUAAGGCCCUUCGGGGUACACGAGCGGCGAACGGGUGAGUAACACGUGGGUGACCUGCCCCCAACCUCUGGGAUAAGCCCGGGAAACCUAGGGUCUAAUACCGGAUAUGACUCUCAGUCGCAUGAUCGAGAGUGGAAAGUUCUUCGGUUGGGGAUGGGCCCGCGGCCUAUCAGCUUGUUGGUGGGGUGAUGGCCUACCAAGGCGACGACGGGUAGCCGGCCUGAGAGGGCGACCGG
rnacentral:rRNA from 1 species